UACCAGCACCCCGAGUGGUCGGGACGUUUAUUGGGCCUAAAGCAUCCGUAGCCGGUUCUACAAGUCUUCCGUUAAAUCCACCUGCUUAACAGAUGGGCUGCGGAAGAUACUAUAGAGCUAGGAGGCGGGAGAGGCAAGCGGUACUCGAUGGGUAGGGGUAAAAUCCGUUGAUCCAUUGAAGACCACCAGUGGCGAAGGCGGCUUGCCAGAACGCGCUCGACGGUGAGGGAUGAAAGCUGGGGGAGCAAACCGA
rnacentral:rRNA from 1 species